UAUACUGCUAGUCGAGCGGACAGAUGGGAGCUUGCUCCCUGAUGUUAGCGGCGGACGGGUGAGUAACACGUGGGUAACCUGCCUGUAAGACUGGGAUAACUCCGAGGAAACCGGGGCUAAUNACCUGUAAUGCUUGUUUGAACCGCAUGGUUCANACAUAAAAGGUGGCUUCGGCUACCACUUACAGAUGGACUAGCGGCGCAUUAGCUAGUUGGUGAGGUAACGGCUCACCAAGGCAACGAUGCGUAGCCGACCUGAGAGGGUGAUCGGCCACACUGGGACUGAGACACGGCCCAGACUCCUACGGGAGGCAGCAGUAGGGAAUCUUCCGCAAUGGACGAAAGUCUGACGGAGCAACGCCGCGUGAGUGAUGAAGGUUUUCGGAUCGUAAAGCUCUGUUGUUAGGGAAGAACAAGUGCCGUUCAAAUAGGGCGGCACCUUGACGGUACCUAACCAGAAAGCCACGGCUAACUACGUGCCAGCAGCCGCGGUAAUACGUAGGUGGCAAGCGUUGUCCGGAAUUAUUGGGCGUAAAGGGCUCGCAGGCGGUUUCUUAAGUCUGAUGUGAAAGCCCCCGGCUCAACCGGGGAGGGUCAUUGGAAACUGGGGAACUUGAGUGCAGAAGAGGAGAGUGGAAUUCCACGUGUAGCGGUGAAAUGCGUAGAGAUGUGGAGGAACACCAGUGGCGAAGGCGACUCUCUGGUCUGUAACUGACGCUGAGGAGCGAAAGCGUGGGGGAGCGAACAGGAUUAGAUACCCUGGGUAGUCCACGCCCGUAAACGAUGAAGUGCUAAGUGGUUAGGGGGGUUUCCGNCCCCUUAGUGCUGGCACCUAACCGCAUUAAAGCACUCCCCCCUGGGGGAGUANGCGUCGCCAAAACUGGAAACUCCAAAGGAAAUUGAACGGGGGGCCCCCCCNAAACCGGGGGGAAGCAUGUGGGUUUUAAUUUCGAAAGCAACCCC
rnacentral:rRNA from 1 species